GCCAGCACGUAAUGGUGGGAACUCAUGGGAUACUGCCGGGGUCAACUCGGAGGAAGGUGGGGAUGACGUCAAAUCAUCAUGCCCCUUAUGUCUUGGGCUUCACGCAUGCUACAAUGGCCGGUACAAAGGGCUGCAAUACCGUGAGGUGGAGCGAAUCCCAAAAAGCCGGUCCCAGUUCGGAUUGAGGUCUGCAACUCGACCUCAUGAAGUCGGAGUCGCUAGUAAUCGCAGAUCAGCAACGCUGCGGUGAAUACGUUCCCGGGUCUUGUACACACCGCCCGUCAAGUCAUGAAAGUCGGUAACACCUGAAGCCGGU
rnacentral:rRNA from 1 species